GAUGAACGCUGGCGGCGUGCCUAAUACAUGCAAGUCGAGCGAACGGACGAGAAGCUUGCUUCUCUGAUGUUAGCGGCGGACGGGUGAGUAACACGUGGAUAACCUACCUAUAAGACUGGGAUAACUUCGGGAAACCGGAGCUAAUACCGGAUAAUAUUUUGAACCGCAUGGUUCAAAAGUGAAAGACGGUCUUGCUGUCACUUAUAGAUGGAUCCGCGCUGCAUUAGCUAGUUGGUAAGGUAACGGCUUACCAAGGCAACGAUGCAUAGCCGACCUGAGAGGGUGAUCGGCCACACUGGAACUGAGACACGGUCCAGACUCCUACGGGAGGCAGCAGUAGGGAAUCUUCCGCAAUGGGCGAAAGCCUGACGGAGCAACGCCGCGUGAGUGAUGAAGGUCUUCGGAUCGUAAAACUCUGUUAUUAGGGAAGAACAUAUGUGUAAGUAACUGUGCACAUCUUGACGGUACCUAAUCAGAAAGCCACGGCUAACUACGUGCCAGCAGCCGCGGUAAUACGUAGGUGGCAAGCGUUAUCCGGAAUUAUUGGGCGUAAAGCGCGCGUAGGCGGUUUUUUAAGUCUGAUGUGAAAGCCCACGGCUCAACCGUGGAGGGUCAUUGGAAACUGGAAAACUUGAGUGCAGAAGAGGAAAGUGGAAUUCCAUGUGUAGCGGUGAAAUGCGCAGAGAUAUGGAGGAACACCAGUGGCGAAGGCGACUUUCUGGUCUGUAACUGACGCUGAUGUGCGAAAGCGUGGGGAUCAAACAGGAUUAGAUACCCUGGUAGUCCACGCCGUAAACGAUGAGUGCUAAGUGUUAGGGGGUUUCCGCCCCUUAGUGCUGCAGCUAACGCAUUAAGCACUCCGCCUGGGGAGUACGACCGCAAGGUUGAAACUCAAAGGAAUUGACGGGGACCCGCACAAGCGGUGGAGCAUGUGGUUUAAUUCGAAGCAACGCGAAGAACCUUACCAAAUCUUGUCAUCCUUUGACAACUCUAGAGAUAGAGCCUUCCCCUUCGGGGGACAAAGUGACAGGUGGUGCAUGGUUGUCGUCAGCUCGUGUCGUGAGAUGUUGGGUUAAGUCCCGCAACGAGCGCAACCCUUAAGCUUAGUUGCCAUCAUUAAGUUGGGCACUCUAAGUUGACUGCCGGUGACAAACCGGAGGAAGGUGGGGAUGACGUCAAAUCAUCAUGCCCCUUAUGAUUUGGGCUACACACGUGCUACAAUGGACAAUACAAAGGGCAGCGAAACCGCGAGGUCAAGCAAAUCCCAUAAAGUUGUUCUCAGUUCGGAUUGUAGUCUGCAACUCGACUACAUGAAGCUGGAAUCGCUAGUAAUCGUAGAUCAGCAUGCUACGGUGAAUACGUUCCCGGGUCU
rnacentral:rRNA from 1 species